rnacentral:lncRNA from 1 species
AUGCGUCAGGAGGGGUCACCUUCUCCCAAUUCCCCUCCAGUCUUUCCCCAUUAAAGUGAAAUAUGGCUUUAAUAUAGUCACACCUGGGGGAAGUGCUCUCUUAACCGGCAGCCAUGGAUGCCCACCCUCCCCUAUUUAAAGGUUGCCUCUUAUUUCUUUAUUCCUCUGGGCUGGGUUUGGCAGCUUUUUGAAUGAUCAGAUUAGUUUUAAAGUCAAUAGAAACAUAGCAUACGAAUAGCAAAAUCACUGGCACUUAAGUACUUUGGAGCUGACUUCAGUCAUAAUUUAAGUAUAAAGAGAUUGGGGGAAGACAGAACAAAUAGCCCAUGAAAACUAGUUUUAGAGUUCUUUAUUCAGUAUGUGUUUGGGGAAAUUGCAGGAUAGACGACUCCAACAAAUCCAGGUUUUAGUGUCUCUUGGGCUCCUGAAGCCUGGGAAAGGCAAAGUGGGCCAAAGCUGGCCUCAGUGUGUGUGGGAACUGCAGGGGAUGGGGGUUAGGAGGACAGUUUAUAAAGAAAAUGGUUCAAAGCUCUAUUUUGAUUCCUAGGGUAAAGUAGGCUACCAGGAGGAACACAGAGUUCAUUCAAGGCACAAAGCUCAGAUUAAAAUGUUUCAUCAGCUUUCUAACUUCCAGCACGCUCACACUUGGGCACAUCUAGCAGCCUGUGUACACCCAGAAUUCUGUUGCUUUGGGGCACCAACAAUACACUGAAACCAGUCUAUGAUGAUUUUCAUUCUCAAUCAUGUUAGCGAAGGCUCAGAACAGUUAACAACUAUGAGAAGGUCACACAGCCCUCAACCCUUUGACUCCAAAGUCUGUGUGCUAUGGGAGUCAGUGGAUGAGAAUACGUUCCUCUCUUGUUGUAUUUUCUUGGCUCUCACUUACUUCUAAAGGUGUCUUUCAUAUUUUCAGCCUCCUCCUUUUACAAAUAAGUCAACAGUAUGGCCUGGCAGAGUCACUUAGUAGCUUUCCUCCAGUCAUGGGUGAUCAAAUAUUCUUUUGCAUAUUUGGCAUAUUUAUAUUCCUCAGGAAGUUGUAUCCACUGGCCCAUAUCUUCAGUCAAAUAUAAGUUUUAUGGUUGCAAAGUUCUAAAUCUCUCUUACUCUCACAUUUAAAUUAUCCCAGAUCUUUCUGGAGAUUCAAGGUCUACAGGAACCAGCAAGUAUCUCUAAGCUGUGACUUAAAGAAUUUGAUUUAUUUGGCUUCUUCUCCUUUGAAUAGCUUGAGUGUUCCUCCUGCAACUCCUGAAACCUUGAUGGGCUUGUUGCAGUGCUCCUUUUAGCUCUGACAUCCACAGACAGCUUAAACGUUAACCAGCUCAGUGCCCUCUUGGUAGCCAGGUUCUUGUCUGGCAUCCAGGAAAAAUCAGGUCACACAGACAAAUUGAAGGAUGGUAAAUGCUGGGAAUUUUAUUGCCAGAUGGAGGUGGCUCUCAGCGGGAUGAAAGGGAAUGGAGUGGGAAGAUGAGAUCUUCACCUGGAGUUCAGCCAGCCUGCGGCUGAUCUUCUCUCCAACUGCCCCCAGCUGAACUCCUCUUGAUAUUCAGAUGCUUCUUCUCUUCUCUCCUUCUUUGCCUUGCCACUCUUCUAUUCCUCUGCUCUUCUGCUCAUGGAGCCUGGGGUUUGGAGUUUAUAUGGGUACAGGAUGGGGGGCGUGGCAGGCCAAAAGGCAACGUUUGGGUGCAGAAACAGGAAUGCCUGUUCCCAUUUAGGGCCGUAGGUUUCCAGGCUUGAGGCUUUGCUGGGGAACUGCCCUCUUCUACCCAGUAUCUCCCUUGCCUUCUGUUCGUAUCAGCAACAUCAGUAGGAUAUGGAAUUAUGUUCCCAGACGACUUCUGAAAAUACAUGAUCUCCAUCAGGGCAUAAGACUUCACAAGAAGUACAUAAUAGAAAUCAUCCCUAGCAUUGAGAAGAAAGAAAUGAAGUCAGCUCCAUCCACUGCAGGCCCUGAAGCCAUGGGACAACAAGGAGGUUCUGCCCUGGGGAAUCCCACUCUGGCUAUGUCUGCAGGGAUGGUAGAUGAAGAACACAGAACAAGGUAGGCAGAGGAACACCCUUGGUGUAUCCAGAAAUGGGCUCAAUUGCUGCAGGAAAGCCGGGGCCAUCUGUUCUUUUUCAGUUUGUGGAAAAUAUUACUUCGGUCCAAAAGGAGGCUCUGUAUUUGGCCACUUUUAAUAGCUGCACAUAAAGACAUGGUACCUGUUCACAGACUGAAUAUUGUUGAUGACUUUUGUUCAUUUAAAAAUAUAGGUUUAUGUUGAGAAUAUUUCAAUUCAAAUACGAUUAUAUUAUAGAUAAUUUAUAUACAAGAAACUAUUGUUAACUAUUGUCUCCCUACUGUACUAUAGAGCAUUAGAACAUAUUGCUUCUGACUAACUGUAUUUUUGCACCCAUU